rnacentral:rRNA from 1 species
CAGCAGCCGCGGUAAUACGUAGGGUGCGAGCGUUAAUCGGAAUUACUGGGCGUAAAGCGUGCGCAGGCGGUUCGCUAAGACAGAUGUGAAAUCCCCGGGCUUAACCUGGGAACUGCAUUUGUGACUGGCGAGCUAGAGUAUGGCAGAGGGGGGUAGAAUUCCACGUGUAGCAGUGAAAUGCGUAGAGAUGUGGAGGAAUACCGAUGGCGAAGGCAGCCCCCUGGGCCAAUACUGACGCUCAUGCACGAAAGCGUGGGGAGCAAACAGGAUUAGAUACCCCGGUAGUCCCUGUCUCUUAUAC